rnacentral:rRNA from 1 species
ACGCCUUAUACAUGCAAGUCGAACGCAGUAGCAAUACUGAGUGGCAAACGGGUGAGUAUAAUGUGGGUAUCUGCCUUUUGGUUUGGAAUAACAUGAGGAAACUUGUGCUAAUACCGGAUAAGCCUUCACAGGGAAAGUUUUAUACGCCGAAAGAUGAGCCCGCACUUGAUUAGUUUGUUGGUGAGGUAAUGGCUCACCAAGACAAUUAUCAAUAGCUGGUCUGAGAGGACGAUCAGCCACAUUGGGACUGAGACACGGCCCAGACUCCUACGGGAGGCAGCAGUAAGGAAUCUUGCACAAUGGGGGAAACCCUGAUGCAGCGAUGCCGCGUGAGUGAAGAAGGCCCUUGGGUUGUAAAACUCUUUCGUCGGGGAAGAAAAUGACUGUACCCGAAUAAGAAGGUCCGGCUAACUUCGUGCCAGCAGCCGCGGUAAUACGAAGGGACCUAGCGUAGUUCGGAAUUACUGGGCUUAAAGAGCUCGUAGGUGGUUAAAAAAGUUGAUGGUGAAAUCCCAAGGCUCAACCUUGGAACUGCCAUCAAAACUUUUUAGCUUGAGUGUGAUAGAGGAAAGUGGAAUUUCUAGUGUAGAGGUGAAAUUCGUAGAUAUUAGAAAGAACACCAAAUGCGAAGGCAACUUUCUGGGUCACUACUGACACUGAGGAGCGAAAGCAUGGGUAGCGAAGAGGAUUAGAUACCCUCGUAGUCCAUGCCGUAAACGAUGUGUGCUAGACGUUGGAAAUAUAUUUUUCAGUGUCGCAGCGAAAGCAUUAAGCACACCGCCUGGGGAGUACGAC